AGGCUGAAGACUUUGCCGGAUUAGCUGAGAGGUGGUGCAUGGCCGUCGUCAGUUCGUACUGUGAAGCAUCCUGUUAAGUCAGGCAACGAGCGAGACCCACGCCCACAGUUGCCAGCGUACUCUCUGGAGUGACGGGUACAUUGUGGGGACCGCAGCUGCUAAAGCGGAGGAAGGAAUGGGCAACGGUAGGUCAGUAUGCCCCGAAUAUCCCGGGCUACACGCGAGCUACAAUGGUUGGUACAAUGGGUAUCUACCCCGAAAGGGGACGGGAAUCUCCUAAAACCAAUCUUAGUUCGGAUUGAGGGCUGCAACUCGCCCUCAUGAAGCUGGAAUCCGUAGUAAUCGCGUUUCAACAGAACGCGGUGAAUACGUCCCUGCUCCUU
rnacentral:rRNA from 1 species